rnacentral:rRNA from 1 species
UACAGAGGAGCCAAGCGUUGUCCGGAUUGACUGGGCGUAAAGCGCACGCAGGCGGACGCGCGCGUGGGGUGUGAAAUCUGGCCGCUUAACGGCCAGGCGCCAUCCCAUACGGCGUGUCUGGAGUGAUGCAGAGGUCGAUGGAAUUGCCGGUGUAGUGGUGAAAUGCGUAGAGAUCGGAAAGAACCCUCGUGGCGAAGGCGACUCUCUGGCCUAAGACUGACGCUGAGGCGCGACGGCGUGGGGAGCGAACAGG